rnacentral:tRNA from 1 species
AAAUUUUUAAUUUAAUUAAAAUAUUAAUUUGUCAUAUUAAUAAUAAUAAAAUUUA